AUCCAGCCAUUGUUCUGAUGAAGACCACAUACCAGCUCCACGUUUGGCAAAGAUUCCUUGCAAGAUGAUGUUUAGUAUCAUGCUAGAGGACCUGGGUCUUCAAGAUAUUUGUGCGCCGGGAUUUGGUGGCUGGAUGAGGAAGAGGUGAGUGGAGGGUCUGAGCGCACCCCACGCCUCUGCUCGUCUUCUUCACUUCUAUCCAUGACUUCCCCGGCGGUGGCGUGGCGCCUGGUCUGCACACCGAACGACUCCUCUCCCCUUGCCAACAACUGAGUUGCCGGAGAAACCAGAGCAAGAGGUGGAGCUGAGCAGGAGCUGCGGCCUGAUGGACCAUGGAUGAGCGAGGUUGCGACCUCCACGCCCGUCCAGUGCACGAACAUGUCCCAGGAGCUGGACCAACGUGUUCGGCAGCGAGCGUAGUCAGUCUUGAGACUAAGGUGUGAAUAGGUCCUCAAGGUUUCCUGAAGCAUAUAUUUGUGCAUGAUCUGUGGCAUCUAACAAAGGUAUUGGAGAGCUGAGGCGGGAUCCAAAGAUACCAUGGCCUCUAUUUUCUUAGCCUUUGGUGGAUUAUGCAUGAGUAUUAUACUAAUCUCUGAAUCCA